UUUCCUAUGAAGUGAUGGGACCGGAUGCCAUGAUCUUUGUUUUCUGAAUGUUGAGCUUUAAGCCAACUUUUUCACUCUCCACUUUCACUUUCAUCAAGAGGCUUUUUAGUUCCUCUUCACUUAUGACUUUUUUCAGAAAAAGGGUAUCACAGAUGUAAUUAAGGAUCAUGAUAUGAGAUCAUCCUGGAUUAUGCAGAUUGGUCUUAAAUCUGAUGACAUGUCCAUAUAAGGGACAGAAGAGCAGACAAGACAGAGAUGAGAAGGCCAUUUGAAGAUAAACACACAGAUUGGAGUUAUGCAGACACAAGCCUGGAGCCAACAGCAGCUGGAAGAGGCCUGGAUGGAUUCCACCUAAAGCCUUCAGAGGGCACGUUGUCCUGCUGACACCUUGAUUUCAGACUUCUGGCCUCCAGAACUGUGAGAGAAUACAUUCCUAUUGAUUUAAGUUACCUAGUUCCUGGGACUUUGUUUCAGCAGCCUUAGGACAGCCUUACAAACAGCAAGUGCUUCCUGGAAGAAAGACCUGGGAAGCCCAUCUGUCUUCUUCCGCACUGUCCACAAAGACCUUCCUGGAAUCAUGAAGCAUUAACAGGUUCUUUCGUUGGCCUAAUAGUUAAAUUGACAUACGAUGGAUCAACAGGAGUAAAACCUAAUUGCACAUAUGUACAGAAACUCAUAAAAAUAUGAGACU